rnacentral:rRNA from 1 species
GAAAUUUAAUGGAUUUCGUAGGUGACCUGCGGAAGGAUCAUUA